rnacentral:rRNA from 1 species
AGGGAUCAUUACCGAGUUUACAACUCCCAAACCCAAUGUGAACCAUACCAAACUGUUGCCUCGGCGGGGUCACGCCCCGGGUGCGUCGCAGCCCCGGAACCAGGCGCCCGCCGGAGGGACCAACCAAACUCUUUCUGUAGUCCCCUCGCGGACGUUAUUUCUUACAGCUCUGAGCAAAAAUUCAAAAUGAAUCAAAACUUUCAACAACGGAUCUCUUGGUUCUGGCAUCGAUGAAGAACGCAGCGAAAUGCGAUAAGUAAUGUGAAUUGCAGAAUUCAGUGAAUCAUCGAAUCUUUGAACGCACAUUGCGCCCGCCAGUAUUCUGGCGGGCAUGCCUGUCCGAGCGUCAUUUCAACCCUCGAACCCCUCCGGGGGGUCGGCGUUGGGGAUCGGGAACCCCUAAGACGGGAUCCCGGCCCCGAAAUACAGUGGCGGUCUCGCCGCAGCCUCUCCUGCGCAGUAGUUUGCACAACUCGCACCGGGAGCGCGGCGCGUCCACGUCCGUAAAACACCCAACUUCUGAAAUGUUGACCUCGGAUCAGGUAGGAAUACCCGCUGAACUU